CUUAUAGAAAUAAUUAUAAGCAUUACCUGCUCAAUGAAAAUUUAAAUAGCCGCAGAUUUUUCUGUGCUAAGGUAGCAUAAUCAUUUGUUUUUUAAUUUAAAACUAGAAUGAAAGGUAUCACAUUUUAAUUAUUUUAUUAUAAAUAUUUAUUUAAAUUAUAUUAAAUAUAAAAAUAUAUUUAUAAGAAAAAAAGACGACAAGACCCUAUUGAACUUUACUUAUGUUUAGCUGGGGCAGCUGAUUAAAUAAAAUUUUAAUAAUAUUUUUAUUUUACAAAAUGAUCCAAUUAUAAUUGAUUAUUUAAUCAAGUUACCAUAGGGAUAACAGCGUAAUAUUCUUUUUAAGUUCUUAUUUAAAAGAUAAUUUGCGACCUCGAUGUUGAAUUAAUUUACUUUCUUAAUGAAACCAUUAGAAAAGUAGGUCUGUUCGACCUUUAAAAAAUUACA
rnacentral:rRNA from 1 species